rnacentral:tRNA from 1 species
UUAAUUGAAACCAAAAUAGAGGUUUAUCACUGUUAAUGAUAAUAAUGAAAGCUAAUUUCCAAUUAAA